rnacentral:rRNA from 1 species
GACGAACGCUGGCGGCGUGCUUAACACAUGCAAGUCGAACGGAAAGGCCCUGCUUUUGUGGGGUGCUCGAGUGGCGAACGGGUGAGUAACACGUGAGUAACCUGCCCUUGACUUUGGGAUAACUUCAGGAAACUGGGGCUAAUACCGGAUAGGAGCUCCUGCUGCAUGGUGGGGGUUGGAAAGUUUCGGCGGUUGGGGAUGGACUCGCGGCUUAUCAGCUUGUUGGUGGGGUAGUGGCUUACCAAGGCUUUGACGGGUAGCCGGCCUGAGAGGGUGACCGGCCACAUUGGGACUGAGAUACGGCCCAGACGCCUACGGGAGGCAGCAGUGGGGAAUAUUGCACAAUGGGCGGAAGCCUGAGGCAGCAACGCCGCGUGCGGGAUGACGGCCUCGGGUUGUAAACCGCUUUCGCCUGUGACGAAGCGUGAGUGACGGUAAUGGGUAAAGAAGCACCGGCUAACUACGUG